AGAAGAGAAAAACAAAACAUUCUAGAUAGUGUCUGGAAUUAUUUGUCUGCUCUGUACUAAGCUAUGUACAAAUAAAGACCACUGGGCAAAAGAAAUCCUGGCGUCAAUUUCUCCUCUGCACGGUGAAGAGUCACUGGCAUUAACAGGAGGAAAAGGCACACAAAUUAAUAUUUGUGGGGCAUUACAGAAGAGACGCAUCCUUUCCCCGAGGAGGAAGACCACAAAGCC